rnacentral:rRNA from 1 species
CGAAUGCUGACAUAAGUAACGAUAAAGCGGGUGAAAAGCCCGCUCGCCGGAAGACCAAGGGUUCCUGUCCAACGUUAAUCGGGGCAGGGUGAGUCGACCCCUAAGGCGAGGCCGAAAGGCGUAGUCGAUGGGAAACAGGUUAAUAUUCCUGUACUUGGUGUUACUGCGAAGGGGGGACGGAGAAGGCUAUGUUGGCCGGGCGACGGUUGUCCCGGUUUAAGCGUGUAGGCUGGUUUUCCAGGCAAAUCCGGAAAAUCAAGGCUGAGGCGUGAUGACGAGGCACUACGGUGCUGAAGCAACAAAUGCCCUGCUUCCAGGAAAAGCCUCUAAGCAUCAGGUAACAUCAAAUCGUACCCCAAACCGACACAGGUGGUCAGGUAGAGAAUACCAAGGCGCUUGAGAGAACUCGGGUGAAGGAACUAGGCAAAAUGGUGCCGUAACUUCGGGAGAAGGCACGCUGAUAUGUAGGUGAAGUCCCUCGCGGAUGGAGCUGAAAUCAGUCGAAGAUACCAGCUGGCUGCAACUGUUUAUUAAAAACACAGCACUGUGCAAACACGAAAGUGGACGUAUACGGUGUGACGCCUGCCCGGUGCCGGAAGGUUAAUUGAUGGGGUUAGCGCAAGCGAAGCUCUUGAUCGAAGCCCCGGUAAACGGCGGCCGUAACUAUAACGGUCCUAAGGUAGCGAAAUUCCUUGUCGGGUAAGUUCCGACCUGCACGAAUGGCGUAAUGAUGGCCAGGCUGUCUCCACCCGAGACUCAGUGAAAUUGAACUCGCUGUGAAGAUGCAGUGUACCCGCGGCAAGACGGAAAGACCCCGUGAACCUUUACUAUAGCUUGACACUGAACAUUGAGCCUUGAUGUGUAGGAUAGGUGGGAGGCUUUGAAGUGUGGACGCCAGUCUGCAUGGAGCCGACCUUGAAAUACCACCCUUUAAUGUUUGAUGUUCUAACGUUGACCCGUAAUCCGGGUUGCGGACAGUGUCUGGUGGGUAGUUUGACUGGGGCGGUCUCCUCCUAAAGAGUAACGGAGGAGCACGAAGGUUGGCUAAUCCUGGUCGGACAUCAGGAGGUUAGUGCAAUGGCAUAAGCCAGCUUGACUGCGAGCGUGACGGCGCGAGCAGGUGCGAAAGCAGGUCAUAGUGAUCCGGUGGUUCUGAAUGGAAGGGCCAUCGCUCAACGGAUAAAAGGUACUCCGGGGAUAACAGGCUGAUACCGCCCAAGAGUUCAUAUCGACGGCGGUGUUUGGCACCUCGAUGUCGGCUCAUCACAUCCUGGGGCUGAAGUAGGUCCCAAGGGUAUGGCUGUUCGCCAUUUAAAGUGGUACGCGAGCUGGGUUUAGAACGUCGUGAGACAGUUCGGUCCCUAUCUGCCGUGGGCGCUGGAGAACUGAGGGGGGCUGCUCCUAGUACGAGAGGACCGGAGUGGACGCAUCACUGGUGUUCGGGUUGUCAUGCCAAUGGCACUGCCCGGUAGCUAAAUGCGGAAGAGAUAAGUGCUGAAAGCAUCUAAGCACGAAACUUGCCCCGAGAUGAGUUCUCCCUGACCCUUUAAGGGUCCUGAAGGAACGUUGAAGACGACGACGUUGAUAGGCCGGGUGUGUAAGCGCAGCGAUGCGUUGAGCUAACCGGUACUAAUGAACCGUGAGG